GACAGAGGAGCCAAGCGUUGUCCGGAUUGACUGGGCGUAAAGCGCACGCAGGCGGCCGUGCACGUGGGGUGUGAAAGCUGGCGGCUUAACUGCCAGACGCCACCUCAUACGGCACGGCUCGAGCCCGUGAGAGGUCCACGGAAUUGCCGGUGUAGUGGUGAAGUGCGUAGAGAUCGGCAGGAACACCCAGGGGGAAACCAGUGGACUGGCACGGUGCUGACGCUCAGGUGCGAAAGCGUGGGGAGCGAACCGG
rnacentral:rRNA from 1 species